rnacentral:rRNA from 1 species
AGAGUUUUAAUCCUGGCUCAGGACGAACGCUGGCGGCGUGCUUUAACACAUGCAAGUCGAACGGAAAGGCCCAGCUUGCUGGGUACUCGAGUGGCGAACGGGUGAGUAACACGUGGGUGAUCUGCCCUGCACUCUGGGAUAAGCCUGGGAAACUGGGUCUAAUACCGGAUAUGACCAACUGUCGCAUGGUGGUUGGUGGAAAGCUUUUGCGGUGUGGGAUGGGCCCGCGGCCUAUCAGCUUGUUGGUGGGGUAAUGGCCUACCAAGGCGACGACGGGUAGCCGACCUGAGAGGGUGAUCGGCCACACUGGGACUGAGACACGGCCCAGACUCCUACGGGAGGCAGCAGUGGGGAAUAUUGCACAAUGGGCGCAAGCCUGAUGCAGCGACGCCGCGUGAGGGAUGACGGCCUUCGGGUUGUAAACCUCUUUCACCAGGGACGAAGCGUGAGUGACGGUACCUGGAGAAGAAGCACCGGCCAACUACGUGCCAGCAGCCGCGGUAAUACGUAGGGUGCGAGCGUUGUCCGGAAUUACUGGGCGUAAAGAGCUCGUAGGCGGUUUGUCGCGUCGUCUGUGAAAUUCUGCAACUCAAUUGCAGGCGUGCAGGCGAUACGGGCAGACUUGAGUACUACAGGGGAGACUGGAAUUCCUGGUGUAGCGGUGAAAUGCGCAGAUAUCAGGAGGAACACCGGUGGCGAAGGCGGGUCUCUGGGUAGUAACUGACGCUGAGGAGCGAAAGCGUGGGUAGCGAACAGGAUUAGAUACCCUGGUAGUCCACGCCGUAAACGGUGGGUACUAGGUGUGGGUUCCUUUUCACGGGAUCCGUGCCGUAGCUAACGCAUAAUACCCCGCCAUAGCGCGCCCCUUUAAAGAUAUGACCUCUUACUUUC